AGCGAACGCUGGCGGCAGGCCUAACACAUGCAAGUCGAACGGACCUUUCGGGGUUAGUGGCGGACGGGUGAGUAACACGUGGGAACGUGCCUUUAGGUUCGGAAUAGCUCCUGGAAACGGGUGGUAAUGCCGAAUGUGCCCUUAGGGGGAAAGAUUUAUCGCCUUUAGAGCGGCCCGCGCCUGAUUAGCUAGUUGGUGAGGUAAUGGCUGACCAAGGCUACGAUCUGUAGCUGGUCUGAGAGGAUGACCAGCCACAUUGGGACUGAGACACGGCCCAAACUCCUACGGGAGGCAGCAGUGGGGAAUCUUGCGCAAUGGGCGACAGCCUGACGCAGCCAUGCCGCGUGGAUGAUGAAGGUCUUAGGAUUGUAAAAUCCUUUCACCGGUGAAGAUAAUGACUGUAGCCGGAGAAGAAGCCCCGGCUAACUUCGUGCCAGCCGCCGCAGUAA
rnacentral:rRNA from 1 species